rnacentral:lncRNA from 1 species
UUUGACUUUUGUUUGUGUUGUGUACUGAUUAUGUUGGAUUGUUUUCAGAUACCUUAGUUGCUAUAGUUCCUUUGUGAACUUGCUUUUUGCUUUGCUUGCUAGCUUGAGCAUUGAGGUAUAAUGUCUCUAACUCCAUGUAGUCUGGAAGACCUGGCCUGUUACUUGGCCAGGCACCUGUCUGAAGUCCUCCUUAAGAGGCAAUGUUUGUG